UACGUAGGGCGCAAGCGUUGUCCGGAAUUAUUGGGCGUAAAGAGCUCGUAGGCGGCUUGUCACGUCGGCUGUGAAAACCCGGGGCUCAACCCCGGGCCUGCAGUCGAUACGGGCGAGCUAGAGUGCGGUAGGGGAGACUGGAAUUCCUGGUGUAGCGGUGAAAUGCGCAGAUAUCAGGAGGAACACCGGUGGCGAAGGCGGUUCUCUGGGCCGUAACUGACGCUGAGGAGCGAAAGCGUGGGGAGCGAACAGG
rnacentral:rRNA from 1 species